AUUGUGCGCGUGCGUACAAAAGCUAAAUAUCUCGAAAGUUCAGGCUCACCGCAAUAAUUGGAAAAGUUUUCAUUUGAACGCCCAUCAACGACACCAACAAGAACAAUGGGGCGUGUGACUACUACAACAACAACGUCGUCGUCGUCGUUCGUCGUCGUCGUCGGCGAAAAGUCAUCAAAAGGCUACUAAAGGUUGACGCAGCUCGUCCUGGCCAUUCUGUCCGAGGACAAGUUUUUGCGGCCAUUGCACGCUCAUGGAUUUGGCACGCAGCGGACCACGUAAAUGAAACGAAACGAAAACACUUUGCAGCUCCCACAGAGACAGCCAGCGAGCAAGUGCGAGGAGCAGGAGUGGGCGGCCCGGGCGAGUCUGAGCAGCUGGCUCAAUUGCAUUUGCCAUGCACUACCUCCAAGAUGGGUAUUAUGCGUAUUAUGACAGCAGCAGCAGCCGCCCAGUGAGCUCGCUCCGUCAUCAGAUGCUUGCAAACUGAAGGAGCUUAAGAUCGAACACGAUGCGAAGUGCAGCCAGGCACUCGCUCCAUUUAAACGAAGACUUAUGGCCAGCUGCUGAGCUCAAGGAACGAGUUACUAGAUUGAGCUAUACUACAUAUUAAUGGGAAAAUGCUAAAGCGUUAGAUGCCAGUGAUUUACUUUGAAUUUUGACUCUACGUCGAAUUGAACUUUUCAAUAAAUUAAUUAAUAAAA